CCUCUCCUUCCUGUCUGGGUCCUGCCCGACACAUUUGUUUCACAAAGAGCUGAAGAGUAAAGCUUUCUGCAGAAGAAUCCUGCUGUUGUUGCGUGCUGUUCUUGCCGGCGAGGACGGGGCGCGCGACAAGUGGUGCCGAAACCCGGGAACCAGAACAUCACCGGCACAGGGAGGACCCUUCAGACAUCUGGAGAGGAUUCAGAACUGCAGGACAGAAGAAAGCCCGGAGAGUAUCUUUCAGGAAACUGGUCCCAAGACUUUGAUGGAGCAUUAGAAGAGCUACGGCGAGAAAUAACCCACAUCAACUCCACCCGGCUAGAUAUCUCCGUAGCAGAAGGACUCUCUUCCUGGUUCCACAGAGCUCUCUCCCACGUUAAAGAGUGGGCGGGCAUGGCUGGGAUGAGUGUAUUCAUGCUUGGAGGUCUCAUGCUCCUACUCUGGUUGUUAUGCAGGCUCCGUGCCCAACACAGGCAAGAUAAAGUGAUCCUUGCUCAAGCCUUGAUGGCGGUAGAUAUUGGCGCCUCUCCCCAAGUAUGGCUCAACAUGCUCAAUAAAGAAGCUCAGCUUUAGCUUGAGGUAGCCCUUGCACCCUGAGCCCUUGUGGCAUUGCACCAGGCCCGGGUACCUUAUCGCUUACCUGCAGCUUUCCCUAAGAAACUCGCGGUGCAAGAGGGUCAAAGAAAAGGUCCAAGACCCUUUGUACCAGGCGGUCCCAACGUCUGCUAGAGGAUGCGAGGCAAAGCACUGCAAGAGGUUUUGGACCCCUCUGAGAGACACGCCUGACUGCAUAGGGGUAGAUGCCCAGAGACCCUCUCCAAAAAGGGGGCAUCAAGAAAUGUUUGCUGGAGGUCAGGCCUCUAUCUCCGCCUCAGCUGACAAGUUCCGUCCUGAGUUUCUAUUAAACAAAAAAGGGGGAGAUGUUGGCAGCCGCACCCAGAGGGUGGCGCUCAACGUGG